rnacentral:rRNA from 1 species
UACUGAGUGGCGAACGGGUGAGUAACACGUGGGUGAUCUGCCCUGCACUUCGGGAUAAGCCUGGGAAACUGGGUCUAAUACCGGAUAGGACGAUGGUUUGGAUGCCAUUGUGGAAAGUUUUUCGGUGUGGGAUGAGCUCGCGGCCUAUCAGCUUGUUGGUGGGGUAAUGGCCUACCAAGGCGUCGACGGGUAGCCGGCCUGAGAGGGUGUACGGCCACAUUGGGACUGAGAUACGGCCCAG